rnacentral:rRNA from 1 species
GACGAACGCUGGCGGCGUGCUUAACACAUGCAAGUCGAGCGGAAAGGCCCUUCGGGGUACUCGAGCGGCGAACGGGUGAGUAACACGUGAGCAACCUGCCCUUGGCUUUGGGAUAACCCUCGGAAACGGGGGCUAAUACCGGAUAUCCACUUUCUGUCGCAUGGUGGUUGGUGGAAAGUUUUUCGGCUGGGGAUGGGCUCGCGGCCUAUCAGCUUGUUGGUGGGGUGAUGGCCUACCAAGGCGACGACGGGUAGCCGGCCUGAGAGGGCGACCGGCCACACUGGGACUGAGACACGGCCCAGUCUCCUACGGGAGGCAGCAGUGGGGAAUAUUGCACAAUGGGCGCAAGCCUGAUGCAGCGACGCCACGUGAGGGAAGACGGCCUUCGGGUUGUAAACCUCUUUCAGCAGGGACGAAGGGUGACUGACGGUACCUGCAGAAGAAGCGCCGGCCAACUACGUGCCAGCAGCCGCCGUAACAC